AUUGAACGCUGGCGGCAUGCCUUACACAUGCAAGUCGAACGGCAGCACGGGAGCAGUCCUGGUGGCGAGUGGCGAACGGGUGAGUAAUAUAUCGGAACGUGCCCAGUCGUGGGGAUAACGUAGCGAAAGCUACGCUAAUACCGCAUACGAUCUAUGGAUGAAAGCGGGGGAUCGCAAGACCUCGCGCGAUUGGAGCGGCCGAUAUCAGAUUAGCUAGUGGUUUUUGAGGUAAAGGACGUCACCAAGGCGACGAUCUGUAGCUGGUCUGAGAGGACGACCAGCCACACUGGGACUGAGACACGGCCCAGACUCCUACGGAGGC
rnacentral:rRNA from 1 species